rnacentral:rRNA from 1 species
UACGUAGGGUGCAAGCGUUAUCCGGAAUUAUUGGGCGUAAAGAGCUCGUAGGUGGUUUGUCGCGUUGUUCGUGAAAACCGGGGGCUUAACCCUCGGCGUGCGGGCGAUACGGGCAGACUGGAGUACUGCAGGGGAGACUGGAAUUCCUGGUGUAGCGGUGGAAUGCGCAGAUAUCAGGAGGAACACCGGUGGCGAAGGCGGGUCUCUGGGCAGUAACUGACGCUGAGGAGCGAAAGCGUGGGGAGCGAACAGG